UACGUAGGGUGCGAGCGUUAAUCGGAUUUACUGGGCGUAAAGCGUGCGCAGGCGGCCCGUUAAGACAGGUGUGAAAUCCCUGGGCUCAACCUAGGAAUUGCGCUUGUGACUGGCGGGCUCGAGUACGGUAGAGGGGGGUGGAACUGCCGGUGUAGGGGUGAAAUCCGUAGAUAUCGGCAGGAACACCAGCGGCGAAGGCGGUUCUCUGGUUGACUUCUGACGCUGAGGCACGAAAGCGUGGGGAGCAAACAGG
rnacentral:rRNA from 1 species